rnacentral:rRNA from 1 species
AGCGAACGCUGGCGGCAGGCUUAACACAUGCAAGUCGAGCGGACCUUUCGGGGUCAGCGGCGGACGGGUGAGUAACGCGUGGGAACGUGCCUUCCGGUUCGGAAUAACCCUGGGAAACUAGGGCUAAUACCGGAUACGCCCUUAUGGGGAAAGGUUUACUGCCGGAAGAUCGGCCCGCGUCUGAUUAGCUAGUUGGUGGGGUAACGGCCUACCAAGGCGACGAUCAGUAGCUGGUCUAGAGGAUGAUCAGCCACACUGGGACUGAGACACGGCCCAGACUCCUACGGGAGGCAGCAGUGGGGAAUAUUGGACAAUGGGCGCAAGCCUGAUCCAGCCAUGCCGCGUGAGUGAUGAAGGCCUUAGGGUUGUAAAGCUCUUUUAUCCGGGACGAUAAUGACGGUACCGGAGGAAUAAGCCCCGGCUAACUUCGUG